rnacentral:hammerhead_ribozyme from 1 species
AUCUAUGUGACCGGUCCCAAAUAGGACGAAACGCGCGUCGUGGAU